rnacentral:misc_RNA from 1 species
AACGCACCUUGCACCCUUUGGUAUUCCGAAGGGUAUGCCUGUUUGAGUGUCAUUAAAUUCUCAAUCCUUUAAAGCUUUAUUGAUUUAAAGGCAUUGGAUGUGGAGGUUUAUUGCUGGCUUUAUUUUAAGUUGGCUCCUCUUAAAUGCAUUAGUGGCUUCUUUGAAGGAUCCCCAUAUAAUGGUGUGAUAGUAUAUCUACAUCAUAUAAUGGCUAGGUCAUGUAAAAGAUUAAAGAAGUUGCUCUCUAACCGUCCGUUAUUGGACAACCUGAACCAUUUGACCUCAAAUCAGGUAGGACUACCCGCUGAACUUAA